rnacentral:rRNA from 1 species
UACAGAGACUGCAAGCGUUAUUCGGAUUCACUGGGCGUAAAGGGCGCGUAGGCGGUCAGCACAAGUCAGUUGUGAAAUCUCCGGGCUUAACUCGGAAAGGUCAACUGAUACUGUGCGACUAGAGUGCAGAAGGGGCAACUGGAAUUCUCGGUGUAGCGGUGAAAUGCGUAGAUAUCAGGAGGAACACCGGUGGCGAAGGCGGUUCUCUGGGCAUUACCUGACGCUGAGGAGCGAAAGUGUGGGGAGCGAACAGG